CUUUAUUUUCAUGAGUUUUAAUACACUUGAACACCCUAAAAAUCCACUAUGUUUAAAAAAUCCUUUGUGAUUCACUCUAGCACAACAUUGAAUAACAUAAAACACCACUUCUGAACAAGGCCAACAACACUUUCCAAACAAUAGUGUUUUCUACUCAGGUUUUCUCCAUUCAUCAAUGAGUACAUAGUCAAAAGAGCAAAAAAUAAUUUUUGUAUGUGUUAAAAAUGGCCACGGAAAUUUACAAAAGCUAAAAUCUAACUGCUGACAUUGAUUUGAAGAAAAGAGAAUACAAGAGAUUUUUGAUUCUUAGGAAAUAGAAGAUUUAGAAAUACCAAGCAUGUAUGCUCUGUCUCUCUCUCUCUCUCUCUCUCUCUCUCUCUCUCCCUCUCUUGAUACAUAUGCAAAUGUAAGGAUAUUCUAGAAAAUUAGGAAUGUAGUUCAUGAAAUAAUUUUGUAGAUGAUUUAAUCCUUUGUGAAUUAUUUAAGGAAGUUGUUUACUUAAUAUUUUGUGGAGUACUCAAUA
rnacentral:lncRNA from 1 species